AGUAUAAAUAGUUAACUUUGAACUGCGAAUGGCUCAUUAUAUCAGUUAUAGUUUAUUUGAUGAAGAAUACUAAUUGGAUAACCGUAGUAAUUCUAGAGCUAAUACAUGUAUAAAGUCUUGUAGACUGCAUUUAUUAGAAUGAAAACCAUAGGUUUCGGCCUAUUCGUGAGUAAUAAUAACUAAUCAUAUCGUAUGCGAUUUGUAACGAUGUGUCUUUCAAGUUUCUGCCCUAUCAGCUUUCGAUGGUAGUGUAUUGGACUACCAUG
rnacentral:rRNA from 1 species